rnacentral:rRNA from 1 species
UUUCCGAGGGUUUGGUUUUAUGGCUCAGAUUGAACGCUGGCGGCAUGCCUUACACAUGCAAGUCGAACGGCAGCACGGGUGCUUGCACCUGGUGGCGAGUGGCGAACCGGUGAGUCCCAAAAUAAAAAAUAGCGCGAACAUCGUACCUAGUAGUAGGGGGAUAGCCCGGCGAAAGCCGGAUUAAUACCGCAUACGAUCUACGGAUGAAAGCGGGGGACCUUCGGGCCUCGCGCUAUAGGGUUGGCCGAUGGCUGAUUAGCUAGUUGGUGGGGUAAAGGCCUACCAAGGCGACGAUCAGUAGCUGGUCUGAGAGGACGACCAGCCACACUGGGACUGAGACACGGCCCAGACUCCUACGGGAGGCAGCAGUGGGGAAUUUUGGACAAUGGGCGAAAGCCUGAUCCAGCAAUGCCGCGUGUGUGAAGAAGGCCUUCGGGUUGUAAAGCACUUUUGUCCGGAAAGAAAUCCUUGGCUCUAAUACAGUCGGGGGAUGACGGUACCGGAAGAAUAAGCACCGGCUAACUACGUGCCAGCAGCCGCGGUAAUACGUAGGGUGCGAGCGUUAAUCGGAAUUACUGGGCGUAAAGCGUGCGCAGGCGGUUUGCUAAGACCGAUGUGAAAUCCCCGGGCUCAACCUGGGAACUGCAUUGGUGACUGGCAGGCUAGAGUAUGGCAGAGGGGGGUAGAAUUCCACGUGUAGCAGUGAAAUGCGUAGAGAUGUGGAGGAAUACCGAUGGCGAAGGCAGCCCCCUGGGCCAAUACUGACGCUCAUGCACGAAAGCGUGGGGAGCAAACAGGAUUAGAUACCCUGGUAGUCCACGCCCUUUUAUAACGAUGUCAACUAGUUGUUGGGGAUUCCAAUACCUUAGUAACGUAGCUAACGCGUGAAGUUGACCGCCUGGGGAGUACGGUCGCAAGAUUAAAACUCAAAUGAAAUUGACGGAGAC